rnacentral:rRNA from 1 species
GGGUUGUGAGGUUAAGCGAAUAAGCGUACACGGUGGAUGCCUAGGCAGUCAGAGGCGAUGAAGGACGUGCUAAUCUGCGAUAAGCGCCGGUAAGGUGAUAUGAACCGUUAUAACCGGCGAUUUC